rnacentral:lncRNA from 1 species
UUUGGUGUCAAGUCUAUAAAUAAAAAGUUGUGCCUGUUGUCGGGUUCCUUGUUCAUAACAUAGUCAUAUGCUUGUAAUAUUUGAUGUUUUGGUAUAACCCCACUUAGCUCGGUUGCGAGAAGGUCAACUUCUGUCCAACACGAGGACUUCCAACACGCACAGCAGUUGAUAUUCCCGCGUAUAGAUUUGGGUAUGCCCUCAUUUCCCGAAGCUGUGUAGUUUUGUACACAUACGAAUAUAGAGCAUCCUAUGGGUGGUUCACCAGAUUGAAAUGCCCCUAUGUGACGGCACUUGAUACACAGGUUUUUGAAAGCCUUCGACCCUAUUAACGAUGAGCUUUGGAUGUCGUCCGCGAAUAUCCCAACGACUGGUUUGCGUCCGUUUAGCCAAUGCUUUGGGGGUUCAAACUGUCUCGUCACUGGGUCAAAGAACUCGAGGAGGUCGGCGGUGAUUCUGUAAUCCAAACUGUGAUUGAAGGCUUUCCACCGUUUUAGUUUUUCUCGGUAAACCAGAAGCUCGUCCCGUUCCUUUUCAAUCUCCGCGAUGAUUUUUUGUACCGCUUGAGGGUCGUUUGGACUGAGGACAUCCUCGGGUCUGAUGUUCAGGGAUUCCAUCAUUUUCUUGUUCGAAUCGAAGGUGUCGCUUAAACAGAAUAUUCUAUCCAUACACGAUGCCUGUUUCAGCUGAUACAGAAGGUUUGAUACGAAUCGGGUCUUGCCACUCUGCUUCUUCGCGACGCAGAGAACGAUGCCGUUCAAGCUUAUGUGAUGCGAUGGGGUGUUCACCGUAAAGCUUGGGUUUCCCAAGUCCUUAAAGGGUGCUAUGCCAACAGGCUGGGUUCGCAUUUUUAUACUACUAUAUGGUAAGAAACAAAUGACUACCAUAUUCUCU